GACUUUGUGGCUUUGUAGCGAACUGACUCCAGAUCAGAAGGUUGUGUGUUCAAAUCAUGUCGAAGUCA
rnacentral:tRNA from 1 species